UCCCUGGUGGCUCAGAUGGUAAAGCAUCUGCCUACAAUGCGGGAGACCCAGGUUCAAACCCUGGGUUGGGAA
rnacentral:tRNA from 1 species